AAUUCUUUGCUCUAUCCUACUAUGAGCAGUUUCCAAAUCAUUCAACAAAGACCCUAAUCCUAAAGUUGUACCAGAAGAUGACUCCAUAGGUUCCUGGUUCAAAUCAAGAUCCAUUACUACACCAUUCAUCAAAUUAUCCGCCAUCCAAGAAUCCCUUUUCAAGUCUGUUUCAAAAAAGAUAAAGCAAAAAAAAAAAGUCGUAAAUCAAAAGCAUAUGGUCUAAAGAGGGGAAAACUGAACAUUCAAGUCAAUCUAGAAAGAAAAGAGAGAGAAAACAAAUACUAAUAACCUGCAUAAAAGAGAUAAUCCAGGUAUCCGAAUUAAAGGAAUCAAUAGCAUGUACACUGAUUUGGCCGUCCACCAUGGGUUCUUCUGCUUCUACAAAUAGCUUCCGAGGUCUUCAGAGAGAGAGAGAGAGAUAGGUCUGCUGAGGAGAGUUCUCGAGGGACAAGAAAGUUUCGCGGGGAGGGGGAAGGGGGGGAGGUUGAGGGUUGAGACGAGAAGGGAGGGAGGAUAGAUGGGUGAUGGGUUUGGCGCAAAUUUUGGGCCAGUGGAAUUGUGACUUGUGGGAGUAGAGGAGUCAAAAGGAAAAAAG
rnacentral:lncRNA from 1 species